GUCGAACGGGAAUCUUCGGAUUCNAGUGGCGGACGGGUGAGUAACGCGUAAGAAUCUAACUUCAGGACGGGGACAACAGUUGGAAACGACUGCUAAUACCCGAUGUGCCGNAAGGUGAAACCUAAUUGGCCUGAAGAAGAGCUUGCGUCUGAUUAGCUAGUUGGUGGGGUAAAGGCCUACCAAGGCGACGAUCAGUAGCUGGUCUGAGAGGAUGAGCAGCCACACUGGGACUGAGACACGGCCCAGACUCCUACGGGAGGCAGCAGUGGGGAAUUUUCCGCAAUGGGCGAAAGCCUGACGGAGCAACGCCGCGUGAGGGAGGAAGGUCUUUGGAUUGUAAACCUCUUUUCUCAAGGAAGAAGUUCUGACGGUACUUGAGGAAUCAGCCUCGGCUAACUCCGUGCCAGCAGCCGCGGUAAUACGGGGGAGGCAAGCGUUAUCCGGAAUUAUUGGGCGUAAAGCGUCCGCAGGUGGUCAGCCAAGUCUGCUGUCAAAUCAGGUUGCUUAACGACCUAAAGGCGGUGGAAACUGGCAGACUAGAGAGCAGUAGGGGUAGCAGGAAUUCCCAGUGUAGCGGUGAAAUGCGUAGAGAUUGGGAAGAACAUCGGUGGCGAAAGCGUGCUACUGGGCUGUAUCUGACACUCAGGGACGAAAGCUAGGGGAGCGAAAGGGAUUAGAUACCCCUGUAGUCCUAGCCGUAAACGAUGGAUACUAGGCGUGGCUUGUAUCGACCCGAGCCGUGCCGAAGCUAACGCGUUAAGUAUCCCGCCUGGGGAGUACGCACGCAAGUGUGAAACUCAAAGGAAUUGACGGGGGCCCGCACAAGCGGUGGAGUAUGUGGUUUAAUUCGAUGCAACGCGAAGAACCUUACCNAGACUUGACAUGUCGCGAACCCUGGNGAAAGCUGGGGGUGCCUUCGGGAGCGCGAACAC
rnacentral:rRNA from 1 species